CUUAAAAAAAAAAAAAAAAAAAAGAAUCCAGAAAUGGCCUCAAAUCCACAGUGUAUGAUAAGGACAUUUGUUACAAAUCUGUGGGAAAGAUAAUGGUCUUGGAACAACUGAAGAGCCAUCUGGGAAAAAUAAAGUUGGACCCAGUCAUUCUCUACAUCAAAAUAUUUCAGAGGAGUGAAAUGUAAAAUGAUAGAA